rnacentral:rRNA from 1 species
GAUGAACGCUGGCGGCGUGCCUAAUACAUGCAAGUCGAGCGAACAGAUGAGGAGCUUGCUCCUCUGACGUUAGCGGCGGACGGGUGAGUAACACGUGGAUCACCUACCUAUAAGACUGGGAUAACUUCGGGACACCGGAGCUAAUACCGGAUAAUAUAUUGAACCGCAUGGUUCGAUAGUGAAAGACGGCUUUGCUGUAACUUAUAGAUGGAUCCGAGCCGCAUUAGCUAGUUGGUAAGGUAACGGCUUACCACGGCAACGAUGCGUAGCCGACCUGACAGGGUGAUCGGCCACACUGGAACUGGAACGCGGUCCAGACUCCUACGGGAGGCAGCAGUAGGGAAUCUUCCGCAAUGGGCGAAAGCCUUGCGGAGCGACGCCGCGUGUGUGAUGAAGGUCUUCGGAUCGGAAAACUCUGUUAUUAGGGAAGAACAAAUGUGUAAGGAGCUAUGCACUUCGUGACGGUACCUAGUCAGAAAGCCACGGCUAACUACGUG